UAACAAUUAGUAAAAGGAUAGAAAAUUAUUUUUUUUUCAGUUUUUUUGUGUUUUUCUUUUAAAAAAAAAUAUUUUCCUAUUGCUUAUAAACUAAACAUCAAAAACACAUCAUUGAAAUGUAGUAAUGUUACAAUGACUCCUGACAUAAAAUAUUUUUUAUUAAAAUUCACAUUUGGCAGCAUUCAAAGUCCUUUCAACUUUUUCUUUUUUUUUUUUUGUUUUUUUUUCUCUCACUCGCUUGUCAAAGAUGAAAUACAAUCUCCACUUCGACCAGCUCACCUGCUGAACCUCCUUCCGGCGUGUGACACGCCUCUGAAUCUGGUGUCAUCUCUGAGAAGCAGCAUGUUGUGGAAAUAACGAUGUGGAUGUCAGAUUGUGGUCUGACAAAAUCCCCAACGUGGACCGCUCACUAAAACACGAUUUUAUAGUCAGAGUGAGUACAGAUAAUAGUGAUUCAUUUACGUUUUUGAAUUCCUGAUUGCAAACAUUUUCUGGCACAACUGAUCGAUUAACAACAUAAAAACUGGAAAGAAAAUAAAGCUGAGUGAUUCAAAAACAAAUAUCUUUGAUACUAAAUGAGUUCCAGGUAGAUCAAACCAUAAAUUAAACAUGCGGCUUGUGUUUGCCAAAAAGGGAGCUGGAUCCUUUUCAACUAGAAACUUCUCGCUAUUGGAUUUCAGAUCUAGUUUGUCACAUCUCCUGCCCGCCUGGCGUCUCCUUCCAGGAAAAAUACGAGGAUAUACUGACUGACUGGAUUGAUGCUGUCUGAUUCUGUGCAUCUGGAUGAGUCACUGCAGCUGGCAUCAAAACCUCCAGAUGAGCCAUGUGGACUGCAGCAGACAGAGAUUACAGGCAGUAAGGGCACUUGGGUGUCGUGAACGGGGUCGUGGGCAGCCACCCCCCGCCCCGUUGAGGCAUGGACAGCGGAGCGGCGGUGUCAUGGGAUCAGUAAGAACAGGUUAUGACCUCCAAUUCAACCUAUGAUGUGAGGCUCCAGUCACUCACAUCCCAAAAGUGAUACUCCACCUUUAGAGCAUCUUCAGUGACAGAAUCAGGACAGCUCCACCAUCAGCAGCAUCAAAGUCACAGUGAGGCACAGAUGGAUUAAUAAGUGAAAGAAAAUACAACAGAACAAGAGAGGCUCCGGAUCGCACAGUAAAGUCACCUGAGGCCUCAGAAGGAAGAACUUUUCAAAACUGUUUGUUUUCUUUUGGAUGAUAUGCAUGAGCGUCUAUCACUCCGGGAGCAGCAGGAGAAGACGAGGGGAGAGGGUGGGCUGCUGCUGCUGCCGUUCGCUGGCACGCAGAUUUCUGAAAAAAA